rnacentral:rRNA from 1 species
AACGCUAGCUACAGGCUUAACACAUGCAAGUCGAGGGGCAGCAUGGUCUUAGUUUGCUAAGGCCGAUGGCGACCGGCGCACGGGUGAGUAACACGUAUCCAACCUGCCGUCUACUCUUGGACAGCCUUCUGAAAGGAAGAUUAAUACAAGAUGGCAUCAUGAGUCCGCAUGUUCACAUGAUUAAAGGUAUUCCGGUAGACGAUGGGGAUGCGUUCCAUUAGAUAGUUGGCGGGGUAACGGCCCACCAAGUCUACGAUGGAUGGGGGUUCUGAGAGGAAGGUCCCCCACACUGGAACUGAGACACGGUCCAGACUCCUACGGGAGGCAGCAGUGAGGAAUAUUGGUCAAUGGACGCAAGUCUGAACCAGCCAAGUAGCGUGAAGGAUGACUGCCCUAUGGGUUGUAAACUUCUUUUAUACGGGAAUAAAAGACAUUACGUGUAGUGUUUUGCAUGUACCGUUAUGAAUAAGCAUCGGCUAAUUCCGUGCCAGCAGCCGCGGUAAUACGGAAGAUGCGAGCGUUAUCCGGAUUUAUUGGGUUUAAAGGGAGCGUAGGCGGGUUUUUAAGUCAGCUGUGAAAGUUUGAGGCUCAACCUUAAAAUUGCAGUUGAUACUGGAGACCUUGAGUGCGGUAAAGGUAGGCGGAAUUCGUGGUGUAGCGGUGAAAUGCUUAGAUAUCACGAAGAACUCCGAUUG